CUGGGACACGCAGCCGCCCUUCCUCCUCCUCCUCCUCCUCGCCCUCCGCAGCCGCGCAGCGGGCGGGAUCCAGCGGCAGCGCAGGCGGAGCUGCCUCCCCCUUAGGAGGGGCCUCCUCUCCUUGGGGGACGUUCAGCGUCCCGACAGUUUUUUGAGUUCACAUCAAUCAAGACAUCACUUUCUUUCAAAUCUUUCCAGAACCAGGAAGAAAGAUAAGAGAAAGGUAUAAUGGUGAGGCAUAACUUUGGACAAGACUGUGUGUGCAGGCAUGCUGCAGAAACUCCACAGCAGCAUUGUUUAUUAUGGCCACAGCCUGGCCACGUUUCAGUAAAUGGCAAAAGUCCCGUUGGCAAUCUGGCCAGAGUUUCAAUUAUAAAUCCCAAAUUAACAUUUGUGGAUGAUGAUAUUAUGGCUGGUCAGAGGCGCACUACAAAUUUCAGAGCUGUUGAUAACAUACCAAGGCUGUCACAUGCCUUGGAUGGAAUUCAUGUGGGGUUGCAGAAAUGAGAACACUUAAGGAGAGUCUUCUUUCAUAUGCCUGUACCUGCUUGUUUUCUGUUCUUAUCCUUUACUAAAUUUUAUGUUUUAUUACCUGCUCCGUGUUUAUAAUACUCUCUUUGGGCAAGUAAAAUACGCGUAUAUCUCUGGCCUUACCCACAUUUACUAGAGAGGAAAAUCACAGAUCCCUGCCCAUUUCCUGUGGUGUUUCCACUGUCUUUAGAGACUUAGCAAAUAUGUUUACAAGUUAUAUUUGAAUUUCACUGGAUAUCAUGUAUUUAGUGGUCUUAGCAUGAGUUUCAUUAUGGAACUUUUAAUAGUUACUUUGCUGUACCAUAUUAGAAAAACCUCUACUAUUGUCCAGGAAAAAAAAAAAAAAAAGUAUAUUCAGACCAUCUGACCGGGUUCUGCUGGGUGACAGCAGGAUUUCUCCGGAGAAAAUCUGCUCCUGGCCCACGUGGCCAGAACUGGAAACUUCCAGAAUUAUGGUUGGCAAGAGGAAGGAGGCCUCUCUCAGUGACAGACCAAUAGAUAGAGUUGUCCAUCCUGUGUGUUACCUUCUGUGGCUCUGGAAGAUGACUUUGUUGGUAACUAAACAGGUUCCCACAAGGACAGUCAGGCUCAGAUCAGACUCCCUGGAAAGAUUGUACAGUUUCCUUUAAGGAAGGUUUCAUGAGGACAAAGCCAUGAGUGAGCUGCUCUGAGCACACGGCUUGAACCUGCUUUGGGAAGGAGGUUGCACCAAGACCUGGGUGUCUGGUUUGACUCUUCCACUAAUAUGUUCAUGGGCAAGGGUAACUUCAAGCUUGGCUCUGAUGUAAGACCCCACACCAUGGUGGCUGCAGGGUGGGAGGGGUGUGCUGCUGGCACACACCACUGGGCAGCAGAGGGUCCCUCAGAAGCUGCUGCAUGGCAUGUCCCUGUGGGAAGGCUGCUGUGCCCACCCCAUGUCACUGGCCAUGCUCAUAUGGCCAGUGACACCAAUUUGGGGACCCUCUACAGUGGCAUGUGCUGCAGAGGAAGAAACUGGACUGGCAUGUCAUUUAUUGUGGGGAGGUGGCCACUAUAAACUUGACUUGUGUAUGCUAGUAGUACGUCACCUGCUGAGAAAGCCAACUGUAAAAUUAAUUGUCAGGAAUACAAGAUGUAUAUUUUUCUUAAUUGGCUUCAGUGCAGUCAUAUCCAAAGGCCCUUUUUGCAGUCAUUCACAAGUUUAAUUGCUAUAGUUUAAUAUUAUGAUCUAAAAAGUCCUGGAAGGAGAGCUGAUAUUAGGCUAGGUUCCUGAUGAAUUAUAAUUAUCACUUUGUGCAGAUGGGUAGAAAACAUUUCUUAUGAAAUGAGUCUUGUUACCUAAAUUAAUAUUGUAUUCUGGAUAAAGCAAUUCUGAUUUUACAUCUAAAAUAUUUUUAAGAGCACCAAGUUUGUGCCAGAAUUUCACUUGGCAGGUCAAAUUGUCUUUUAAAAUUACUUGACUUUUCAGUAGCAUCUUAUGAUAGGUUUCUGCAUUGAAGAUGUUUGGCAAUGACAGAAUGAUUCAAGGGUUGGACAGCAAAUAAAGUAAAAUAUAAUAAAAUGAAACUAUGUAACUAGCAUAAUUUCCUAGUUCUAUGAGCACGGGGGAUUCACAGUCUGAAUGACAGGAAUUCAUAGCAUGAUUGUCACACAUUUUCUUCCUGUAUUAAUUUCAUCUUCGUCUGAGGGUGUCUGCGAGACAUGAACCACUAAUCUAAUACUUUGAAAACAGGAAAUCUCAUUAGCAGCUCUAGGGAAGGGAGUGAGAUGGGUGAGGAAGGUGCAGGUCAUUAAAGGUUUACAAGUUAAGGAACUGUGAAAGUUUUAAGAAGGAUUACUCCACACACAAUCUGUUUGUGCUUUGUAAAAACCCCAAGUUUUUUGUAUAUCUCGUAUUUCUUUCUCAUGAAUAAGACCUGCAGUGGAUAAAGUAAACAGGCACAUGGAAAGGUGUCAGCUGAAGGUGUCAGGCUGCAUUUCAAGGAGUGGAUUAUAGACAGCCAUUCCCAGAUGACUGGCAGCUUCGUGGCCUAGUACAUGCAGCCGACACCUCAGGUGUUGAACACGGCCCUUUCCAAUCUCAUCAGACAUUCAGUUUAAGUUUCCAGAGCAACUGGAGUCUGUGACUCCAACAGGGUAUUUUUCAAGAGCAUAAAGUGGGAGCUAGAUGGCCACUUUCUGGCAGAAGAUAGUGGGAAUAUUGUGUCAAGACAUUCUGUGCAUAUUGAAGACCGUUUCUGAAAUUUUCUGCAUGCAUGCCCUCUUGUGUAUGCAAUACAUUACAGCUUACCAUAUAUAUAAAAAUUUGGCACUACUGUAUCUCCCUAAACAUUGCAUUAAUCCAUCUGUCUGUCACCAUGGUAACAAGGCUCCCUAUUGAUGACUGAAGAUGAGCUGAACCAUUAAAACUAAAUGUACACUGUUGGAAAAAAAAAAAAGUAAGGUCACUUGGAAUAGCACUACAGAGACACAAAUGGUCAAAAAUAGGCUAACUAAUACUUUUAAUGCAUUAUUUUUAUAGUAUAUAUAUAUUAUAGAUCUGAAAUAAAGCCUGUUAUUAAAAUGAUCUUUAAAUCUGA